rnacentral:rRNA from 1 species
GACGAACGCUGGCGGCGUGCUUAACACAUGCAAGUCGAACGGUGAAGCGCCUUCCUUUUUGGUGGGUGUGGAUGAGUGGCGAACGGGUGAGUAACACGUGAGUAGCCUGCCCCCCUCUUCUGGAUAACCGCAUGAAAGUGUGGCUAAUACGGGAUAUUCUGGGUCUGUCGCAUGAUGGGUCUGGGAAAGAUAUUGUUUCGGUGGGGGAUGGGCUCGCGGCCUAUCAGCUUGUUGGUGGGGUGAUGGCCUACCAAGGCGGUGACGGGUAGCCGGCCUGAGAGGGUGGACGGUCACACUGGGACUGAGACACGGCCCAGACUCCUACGGGAGGCAGCAGUGGGGAAUAUUGCACAAUGGGCGCAAGCCUGAUGCAGCGACGCCGCGUGAGGGAUGGAGGCCUUCGGGUUGUGAACCUCUUUCGCCAGUGAAGCAGGCCUGCCUCGUUUGUGGGUGGGUUGACGGUAGCUGGAGAAGAAGCGCCGGCUAACUACGUG